UACAGAGGUCUCAAGUGUUGUUCGGAUUCAUUGGGCGUAAAGGGUGCGUAGGCGGCGCGGUAAGUCGGGUGUGAAAUCUCGGAGCUUAACUCCGAAACUGCAUUCGAUACUGCCGUGCUUGAGGACUGGAGAGGAGACUGGAAUUUACGGUGUAGCGGUGAAAUGCGUAGAUAUCGUAAGGAAGACCAGUGGCGAAGGCGGGUCUCUGGACAGUUCCUGACGCUGAGGCACGAAGGCCAGGGGAGCAAACGGG
rnacentral:rRNA from 1 species